AAAAACCCAUCCUUUAAAAUCCUAAUUAACAAAAAUUUCCCCAAAUUUCUACUUUAAAAACUCUUCGAAAACUGAAUUCCUGCUACAAUCAUCGACAAAUCCAGUCCACAGACUCAAUCUUACAGCGAAUCGAUUGUUGCACCACGUCAAUUGGCAGUAAUUGCUGUCGUUUUCAGUGUUGAUUUUUUAGUUUGGAAGAAUGUCAACGAGGAGAAGAGCAGGGGAGGAGAGAUUGUACUACAGUCCCCCGGCGAUGAGGCGGCGCCAGCAAGAGCAAGCGGAGCUCAAGUCUGCCUCGUCGUUGCCGGAGAGGAAAGGAUCCGUUUCGGAUUCGUAUUUGGAUUGGUUUUUGGAGCACACCACUCCCGUUGUGGCAGCUCAGCAUUUUGCUAGGGGAAUUUAGGUAUUUGGCAAAUUCAAGUAGUUUGGCUUGAACAGAUAGCGUGAUGAUGAUAACAAUGUGUUUUUUUUGUGAAAUGUGGUUGAUUCUUGAAAAGUAGUGAGAACUGAUUGGAUAGACUUUUUUUCGCCAUGAAUUGGAUUUUGCUUCGGAUCUCCCUGUUGCCUCAGAUCUCAUUCUCAUUCUCCCUGAAUUAGAUUGGCUUAUGAAAAUGAUAAGCUCUUGGAGGGUUUCUAUUCUGGUAUUGACUCUCUGUCUGUGUACUUACUUGCUCAUUGCAUUGUUUUUGUUUAUAAGAGGCUGGUUAUGGGUUAAAGUUAUGAGUUGUUACUUCUUACUUUUGUUAUACUGAAUGGUCAAGAGAGUAGCUCCAAGAAGAAGGAUAGCACUAUGGGGAUCUUGUCUGUUGCUACUGGAUUCACUCAAAAGAGAAAGAGAUCGGUGAUUCCACAGGACAGUGAGACAUCCUACUUUCGGCAAUUUACUCGUUUCCGCAGGAUUCUUGCUGUUGAAAUAGAAGACUCAGAUUAGGAGCCUUACUCCUUCCUUGCAUUCUUUUUUUUCUGAGAAGGGAUAUCACGUACCUUUUUUUUUCGUGAAUUCUUACGUAUCAUGAAUCCAAAUAGGAAAAGAUCUAUGCAAGGAGACAUCGUUGAAAUAUUGUCAUCAGAAACAAAUCAUUCUUACUUGUAUAAUUACCCAUCUUAAAUCGAUAUUCUGUCAUGAACAAUUGAAGAAAAA